AGGUGUUUCUCUCAUUUCUGUGUUUCUCAUCACAGACGUCACCUUUGACCUUUGGGAGGCAGCGGAGCAAGAUGGCGGCGGUCAUACCACCGGAAGAUGAUGUAAUAAAACAGCUGAGGGGGGCUGGCAUUGGGAAAGUUCAUCCUCAGCCCCUCUCUCCAACUUCCACUAAGCUUCUGCUGGAGCUUAUCGCCUGCAUCCUCCCAUCUCCUCAUCUGGAGCGUGGAGGUGUGCGCGCGUGCCAGCUGGACGUCUUGAGAGAAAGAAAACUUCACAUCCACGACCUCACGCUCGCACACAGUGGGUUUCCUCGUAAGUGGGUUAUGUGUAACUUCAAAUAGCCCCGUUUCACAACAGGGAGAGCCUCAAGAUCAGCCUCCCCUCGCUGCACUUCCUCCCGCUUCACGUUUGAUACGAAGUUAGACAUCCGCGCGCAGCAUCUAGGUGCGUGAAUGUGCAGCGGGGAGUCUGGGAUUUUCUUCAAGGUCACUUCCCCGCAUAGCCCGUAUGACCGCACGGCACAAGCUAGAUGCGGCAUCGCAGCACACAAUCGAAAACGGCGGAGCAAUGUGUUUGAUGUGGAUGCUGUUGCAUAACCAUGCUUAUUUACAGUCCGUGCUGGAAAGUCACAUGACAAUUUUGGGCUCGGAAGAAAAACAAGAUGAGGUGAUGAUGACGUUAGAUUUAACAUGUCAAAGAAGAGUAGGGAUUGGGGGUGGGAGGGGCCGGGCGUGAGAGAGAGCGCACUGGCGGGAUGGUUAAGGUCAAAGGAGACAUCGCAGCGUGCGUUCCUCAUCCUUCCCUCCAGCCUCAUCCUCUGCUAUUGUUUAAUCUGCUCUUUCUUAAACCAAAACAUCUCAAUAAUCCCGUCCAUGCAGUUUGGGGAGGGGGGCGGGGGGUUGACCAUUGAGGCGGGAAUGCUGCAACAAGGCAAGGGAUGGGGGGGAGAUAUACAGGAGUCUCUCUAUGUGACUGACUAUGUGACACGAAAAAUCUAUUUUUUGCAAAUAGAGAUGAUCAAUCCUUUACCAGUUGGAUUUUGCCACUUGUUAAUAUUUUCAAAAUAUCAAAAGUAGUUUCCUUGGCAUUAUAGCAGGGCGGCAGUGAAAAUAGCAGGGGCCCCAAGAUAGAACCCUGUGCAACACCAUACGACGCAAGGGCAGUGCGGUACUCAGCCAAAGAAUCUAAAUGUGUCGCAAGAUGAGUUCUAAAAGUGGACAGAGCAUGCACCAGCGACCGACUCUUACAGGACCAAAAUUGAAAAAUAAGUUUUCAGCACAACAGUCAUUCAGUCAAUAGAUUUGACUUUCCCCUCUUAAAAGGAAAAUAAUAUAAAACUAAAGAUCCCUAAAUUGUACAAUGUAUCCCCAGCAAAGUACACACCUUUAAUCAUUGUUUUGACAACUCCGGCUUGUAAAAAAAAAAAAACAAAAAAAUAUUGUGUUCGGGGGCAUGCCAUCCUUUGCUAAUGGUCUGUUAAUUGUGUUUAAUAUUCGAUGAGGUAAGCGGCAUAAAACCAUGAGACCACAGUGUGAAUAUUUCCUUCCCGCUGAAAACUGGAACCACCGAGCAGAAAUAAUAAAAGUCGUGUAAAAAACUCCGUUAAAAUGAUCGUUUCCAAGGACCCCCUCCCCCCCCCAUCCCCAAAGGGCAUCUGACAGUAAGGUUGUUUGAGUAGGCCCAGCCGACCCGCACUACAUCAAAACAAAGUUCCCGGUGACCACAGAGAAGUCAUUUAAUAGGCUGAUUACAUCUCGGCAGGCUAUAAAAACAUACAGUAAAUUCACAAAGCCAUUAUGUUCGCGUUAAAAGAAGGCGCUCAUAAAACAGCUCAGGUGCCUUUUAAAAUGUUUUUGGUCGUCCUUCAUCCGCCUCACACGCGCUGUUGAAACU